rnacentral:tRNA from 1 species
CCUGGUGGCUUAGAGGGUAAAGCAUCUGCUCGCAAUGCAGCAGACCCAGGUUCCAUCCCUGGGUCAGGA